UACGAAGGGGGCGAGCGUUGUUCGGAAUUACUGGGCGUAAAGGGCGCGCAGGCGGCUCUGAAAGUCAGAUGUGAAAGCCCCGGGCUUAACCUGGGAAUUGCAUUUGAUACUCUGGAGCUUGAGUGUGGGAGAGGAGAGUGGAAUUCCCAGUGUAGAGGUGAAAUUCGUAGAUAUUCGGAAGAACACCAGUGGCGAAGGCGACUCACUGGACGACUGUUGACGCUGAGGUGCGAAAGCGUGGGGAGCAAACAGG
rnacentral:rRNA from 1 species